CUUCUACUCCCUCCGUUCCGAAUUACUUGUCGCGGGUAUGGAUGUAUCUAGAUGUAUUUUAGUUCUAGAUAUAUCCAUUUCUGCGACGAGUAAUUUGGAACGGAGGGAGUAAAAG
rnacentral:pre_miRNA from 1 species